rnacentral:lncRNA from 1 species
CAAGCGUUACCGUCGCGGUUAUUGGUUGUAUAUGUUCAGGUAUUCAUAGUUUGGCAAAGAAAGUAGAGAGAUAAAAAAACACGAUGAAAGUCACUGCUGUUGUGUUAGCGAUCAUCCUGCUUUUCGCUCAAACACUUGCUGAGGAAGAGUGGGAUAACUGGAGUAAGGAGACUUGGAGUGAAAACGGGGAGGCAGAUACCGGAAAUGAAUGGGGAAUGAACGAAAAUGAAUGGUCAGACCAGAUCUAUAGUUCUGGCAGUUUCAACACCAUCUUUGUACCAUUGAUGUUGGCAUCUUUUGUUGUUGCUCGCAUCGCUCGUCGUUAGAGAUGAAGAUAUAGGAUGACCUGCUGAGGCUCGGUGACAAUAGACACGCUUAAACAUUCUUGAUUCACUAAAAAGACAAUGUUUAAUAUUCGUAUUAUUACUAUUCAUGUUUGUACUUCGCUAUUUGUAAUAAUUUCAUUUCCUGUGCAAAAUUGUGUAUGAAUGAGGAUGGUAGGAGUUGGAGGAGCAGAGAUUCACUCACAACUAUAGUCAUGCUCAGACCUACUGGUGACAGGCAUGUUGUGUUGUUCGAAACUGUAUCCUACGCCGGAUAUGCGAUUUAUGGACUUUUGACUUCUUUCGUUUCUAUAUAUAUCAUAAACAUUGAUCAAAUACAGAGAUAUAAUUGGAAAUUUGUAUAAUAAGAUCAAUGUAUUUAGAAUAAAAUCACAGUAGAGCAUCUCA